CUUCUUCUCGAGUUCUCUGUUCGACAUCUCAGGACCCAGACGACUUUUUCUCGUAUCUCGACUUCUCAAGAUUCAUGGCUCUUUCCGCACCGUUUGUUAAGGUUUUGGGUAAGGAAAAAGAUGAUCAUUUCAACACCAAUGGUAGAGUGUAUGCAAUCGUUAUUGGCAAUAGAAACGCAAAUGAUGUAGCCGUCUUAGAAAGUAGCUGAACAGGCCAUCUCUUAGGUUGUUGGUCACUUGAACUAUAACUCCUCCAGUCCUCCUCCUAAGCACGACUGGCAAAAAAAGCAAAGGUUCGUGCCAUCUUCUUGCUCGCUUCUGAGGAGCUAUCCCUCCAUAACAUCCAAGAUUUCUUUGAUGCUGCGGAUUACUCCCUCUCUCUAUUAAGAAAAGGCGAAAUCCCCAAAUACAUCCAAUGAGUUGAGUUCCUCAUCGUCUUCAUAGUUUCUCUUUGUGCAACUGUGUGCAUGAUCAUGGUGAUGCUUUGUAAAUUAGUUUGUGGUUUACAAGUGCAGGUAUGGAUAAUAUAGACAUAUAACUUUGACAAAAUUCUGAUCAGUUAAUGUAUAUCUGCAUCAUUGUGUAAAAUUAGUUGAGGUUCCUAUUUUUUAGAGCUAUGUAAAACAAUGAAUCUUAAA